UACGUAGGGGGCAAGCGUUGUCCGGAAUCAUUGGGCGUAAAGAGCGUGUAGGCGGCCCGAUAAGUCCGCUGUGAAAGUCCAGGGCUCAACCCUGGGAUGCCGGUGGAUACUGUCGGGCUCGAGUCCGGAAGAGGAGUGUGGAAUUCCUGGUGUAGCGGUGAAAUGCGCAGAUAUCAGGAGGAACACCAAUGGCGAAGGCAGCACUCUGGGACGUGACUGACGCUGAGAAGCGGAAGCAUGGGGAGCGAACAGG
rnacentral:rRNA from 1 species